GACGAACGCUGGCGGCGUGCCUAAUACAUGCAAGUCGAGCGAGCUUGCCUAGAUGAAUUUGGUGCUUGCACCAAAUGAAACUAGAUACAAGCGAGCGGCGGACGGGUGAGUAACACGUGGGUAACCUGCCCAAGAGACUGGGAUAACACCUGGAAACAGAUGCUAAUACCGGAUAACAACACUAGACGCAUGUCUAGAGUUUAAAAGAUGGUUCUGCUAUCACUCUUGGAUGGACCUGCGGUGCAUUAGCUAGUUGGUAAGGUAACGGCUUACCAAGGCAAUGAUGCAUAGCCGAGUUGAGAGACUGAUCGGCCACAUUGGGACUGAGACACGGCCCAAACUCCUACGGGAGGCAGCAGUAGGGAAUCUUCCACAAUGGACGCAAGUCUGAUGGAGCAACGCCGCGUGAGUGAAGAAGGGUUUCGGCUCGUAAAGCUCUGUUGGUAGUGAAGAAAGAUAGAGGUAGUAACUGGCCUUUAUUUGACGGUAAUUACUUAGAAAGUCACGGCUAACUACGUGCCAGCAGCCGCGGUAAUACGUAGGUGGCAAGCGUUGUCCGGAUUUAUUGGGCGUAAAGCGAGUGCAGGCGGUUCAAUAAGUCUGAUGUGAAAGCCUUCGGCUCAACCGGAGAAUUGCAUCAGAAACUGUUGAACUUGAGUGCAGAAGAGGAGAGUGGAACUCCAUGUGUAGCGGUGGAAUGCGUAGAUAUAUGGAAGAACACCGGUGGCGAAGGCGGCUCUCUGGUCUGCAACUGACGCUGAGGCUCGAAAGCAUGGGUAGCGAACAG
rnacentral:rRNA from 1 species